ensembl:lncRNA
CUUAUGGCGCCCUAUGGAUCCUUAUGGCUCCCAAUGGGUUGCUAUGGAUCCUUAUGGCACCCAAAGGUGGAAGGAGGUGCCUUAUGGGGCCCUAUGGCACCCUAUGGGGCCCUAUGGCACCCUAUGGAUAUGUAUGGAUCCUUAUGGCACCCAAAGGUGCAAGGAGGCGGCUUAUGGGGCCCUAUGGUGCCCUAUGGGGCCCUAUGGAUCCUUAUGGCACCCAAAGGUGGAAUGAGGCGGCUUAUGGGGCCCUAUGGCACCCUAUGGAUCCUUAUGGCACCCAAAGGUGGAAGGAGGUGCCUUAUGGGGCCCUAUGGGGCCCUAUGGGGCCCUAUGGAUCCUUAUGGCACCCAAAGGUGGAAUGAGGCGCCUUAUGGGGCCCUAUGGGAUCCUAUGGAUCCUUAUGGCACCCAAAGGUGCAAGGAGGCGCCUUAUGGGGCCCUAUGGUGCCCUAUGGGGCCCUAUGGCACCCUAUGACGCCCUAUGGGUCGCUAUGGAUCCUUAUGGCACCCAAAGGUGGAAUGAGGUGGCUUAUGGGGCCCUAUGGUGCCUUAUGGGGCCCUAUGGCACCCUAUGGAUCCUUAUGGCACCCAAAGGUGGAAUGAGGUGGCUUAUGGGGCCCUAUGGUGCCCUAUGGAUCCUUAUGGGUCCCUACGGAUCCUUAUGGCACCCUAUGGAUCCUUAUGGCACCCUAUGGAUAUGUAUGGAUCCUUAUGGCACCCAAAGGUGCAAGGAGGCGCCUUAUGGGGCCCUAUGGGAUCCUAUGGAUCCUUAUGGCGCCCAAAGGUGGAAGGAGGUGGCUUAUGGGGCCCUAUGGUGCCCUAUGGGGCCCUCUGGCACCCUAUGGAUCCUUAUGGCUCCCUAUGGCACCCUAUGGCACCCUAUGGAUCCUUAUGGC